rnacentral:rRNA from 1 species
UACAGAGGUCCCAAGCGUUGUUCGGAUUCACUGGGCGUAAAGGGUGCGUAGGUGGCCAGGUAAGUUUGGUGUGAAAGCUCGGAGCUUAACUCCGAAAAGUCAUUGAAUACUAUCUGGCUGGAGGGUCGGAGGGGAGACUGGAAUUCUCGGUGUAGCAGUGAAAUGCGUAGAUAUCGAGAGGAACACCAGUGGCGAAGGCGAGUCUCUGGACGACUCCUGACACUGAGGCACGAAAGCUAAGGGGAGCAAACCAGG